rnacentral:lncRNA from 1 species
CGUGCACGAGAGGACUCCAUGUUUUUCUUUCUCUCUUUGAACGAAUACAACGUCGCCCGGUUGGAAUAUUAUCGCUAUUUUACGAGAAAAAUCGCAUAAAAAUUGAUUUUAAACAGCGUUUGACAUGCUUCGAAGUACGGUAAUGGAAUAUUUUGACAUUUUUUGUCACGAAAUGCGCCCACGCGUCACCCUUCGGAUACUGACCUCAACGCACGAACAAAAUGGAGCUAUUUCAAUAUAACUAUGGAUUAUUUCGAACCAAAACAACAUUUGUUGUUGAAGUAGAAGUCCUGGGAGUGCAUUCUGACGAAGAACAGCAAAGACUCGGGAAAGGCGAAGGUCGAGAGCCAUGCGUCCUCCAAAACGCAACCCUGCCAAGCCACACUGCUCACUUAACCCGGAAGCCAGCCACGCCAAUGUGUCGGAGAAAACUGUCCAACUGGCGAACGAAGUCAGCUUGCAGGCGCCCGGCCCGCCACAAGGAGUUGCUAGAGCUCGAUGUGACAAGGAAAUAACCUGAAUCAGAUUAAAGGCACCGGUUACAGUGAGAAGCUUCAUCUUGAGCGGACAGCUUGAUAAAAACCAGGCAAUAUUCAGGUCCCGAAGAAAUUAGACCUCUCUGUU